GUUAGUCGGACUCGUCCUCACGUGCGCUCAUCCCGAGCGUCUGGACCUUUCUCUCCGGCCGGCAGCUGCACAGGAAGACAGGCGGGCGGCCAUGCGGUGGCUGCCAUUGUUGCUGCUCGCCCAGGUGGCGAGUGGCCAGAGGCGGCGCGUGGGCGCCGGCAUCAACGCGCUGGCGCCGCUGGACGAGACGGCGGGCGCCGCCGGCGGCGACCACGACCACCACCACCACCACCACACGCAC